GUAAUACGUAGAAGACUAGUGUUAUUCAUCUUUAAUAGGUUUAAAGUGUACCCAGACGGUUUAUAUGACCUAAACAAGGUAUUAUAUUUGACUAGAGUUAUCCAUGUAAUGGUGCUAUUAGGUACUGUUGAGUGUAGAGAUGAAAUUCUGUCAUACCAGAUGAUUGGCACAGAUUUAGGCGAAGGCAUCACUUUAUGUAAUAACUGACGUUGGCGGACGAAGGCUUAAGCAACGAACAGGAUUAGGUACCCCAGUAGGAUAGCAGAAAAUUAUGAAUGUCAUAGGUUAAAUAAUAUUUUAUCUAUAAAUGAAAGUGUAAGCAUUCCACCUCAGGAGUAAUUUGGCAACAUUGGAAUUGAAAUCAUUAGACCGUUUCUGAAACCAGUAGUGAAGUAUGUUGUUUAAUUUGAUGACCCGCAUAAAACCUUACCACAAUUUGAAUAUUUUAAUAUUUUUUUACAAGCGUUGCACGGCUGUCUUCAGUUAAUGUCGUGAGAUUUUGGUUAGUUCCAUAAAAUUAACGUAAACCCUUACUUUAUUUUAAAAUAAAGUCGUUCCCCGCUAUAUUGGAUAUGAUAACAGGGACCAAGACAAGUCAUCAUGGCCUUAAUAUUGUGGG
rnacentral:rRNA from 1 species